rnacentral:ncRNA from 1 species
AAAGAACCGAUGACGGAAAAAGUAGUGGAGUCCCACAUAAAUAAGAGAGAAAAUGCCAGAGGCUGAGAGCAUUUUCACUUGAUGGCUCAACGAAAGACACUCCCGAGGCUUUAUGCUGAUAUGUAAGUAUAAACGUUUUGCAGGCGUUAACUGUGAAGAGCGGAUGCAAUAUUAUUGCAUCAACUAGGGUGGCAACGCGGGUGAACUCCCGUCCCUUAU